CGGGUGUUAAGGUGUCUACCUCUCACUGGAUUUAUAUCAUACAGCGACAUCACCUCAUUGGCGGUGUACUGCCUCCCUCUCACUGGCCAGACAGAAGCAGCGAGCCAUGUGGGGGACCAGCUGUACUACACAAGAACGUGACCCGUAACACAGAGGAGGAGGAGAAGAACGGCGGAGGAGGAAGAGGAGGAGGAGGAGGAGCACAAAAGAGUACAAAGGAAAAGCAAACAGCAACAGACCUCUUGAUCCUAACUAGGCUGUUUGUUGUUGGUACCAUCUCUAAUCUACGAGUCAGAGGCACAGGGCAGCAAAGGUGAAGGAGGAGGAGGAGGAGCACAAAGACACAAAGAAAGAACAAACAGCAGACCUGAUGAUCCUUACGAAGCUGUUUGUGACAAGCUCCUUCCCACCCCCACCCCCAUCCCUCAUUCCAAAACUGUCAGGAAAGGAACUGUGCAGUAUGGAAGAACUGCAUGGAAAUUAUGUAGGAAAGAGAGGAGGAGGAGGAGGAUAAUCAGGUGUUUUGUUUUUUUCCUCCGCGUGUGUUCGGGUCACAUAAAGAAGAUUAUCAAUAUUUUUUUCCUUGACAGCGGAUUACAAGGAGGAUCAAAGGUUAUGUAAUUAAGGCUCCGGAAAAUGAUGAUUAUAAGUGUGUGCGUGUGCCAGUGCGUGUGUGUGUGUGAACCAGAGCCGUGGGAAGGAGGGGAGGGAGGAGCUGGACACCUUUAAGAGAGCUCAAAUAUAUCUUUUCCAUUUUUUCCUUUUUUUUCAAUUGGUUGUAUUGCGGCGGAGCUUCGGGUCUGCAGCGAUGCAGAAUUUUUGGCAUAUAUUCAUUUUUAUUGUUAUAUUAUUAAAUUAUUCCAAGUUCUUUGAGAGUGAGUGGAGUGGAGUGUCUUUUCCAUCAUUUUUGUCCCUGUCCCUGUCCGUGUGUGUCAAAUAUAAAA